CGGGGUGCAGCAGGCGCGAAAACUCUACAAUGCAGGCAACUGCGAUAGGGGGACAUCGAGUGGCAUCCACCUUGGGUGCCUGUCCAACCGUCUAAAAAACGGUUGUUAGCAAGGGCCGGGUAAGACCGGUGCCAGCCGCCGCGGUAAUACCGGCGGCUCGAGUGGUGGCCGAUAUUAUUGAGUCUAAAGGGUCCGUAGCCGGCUUUGCAAGUCCCCUGGGAAAUCCAGCGGCUUAACCGUUGGGCUUUCAUGGGAUACUACAUUGCUUGGGACUGGGAGAGGUAGGAGGUACUCGGGGGGUAGGGGUGAAAUCCUGUAAUCCUCCGGGGACCACCGGUGGCGAAGGCGUCCUACCAGAACAGGUCCGACGGUGAGGGACGAAAGCUAGGGGCACGAACCGGAUUAGAUACCCGGGUAGUCCUAGCCGUAAACGAUGCCCGCUAGGUGUCACGACGGUCGUGAAUCGUCGUGGUGCCGUAGGGAAGCCGCGAAGCGGGCCACUUGGGAAGUACGGCCGCAAGGCUGAAACUUAAAGGAAUUGGCGGGGGAGCACAAG
rnacentral:rRNA from 1 species